rnacentral:rRNA from 1 species
CUUCCGUUAAUUGAUUAUGACGUACUUGUACUGAUUGAGAUUUUAACACGAAGUGAGUGGCGAACGGGUGAGUAACACGUGGGUAACCUGCCCAGAAGUAGGGGAUAACACCUGGAAACAGAUGCUAAUACCGUAUAACAGAGAAAACCGCAUGGUUUUCUUUUAAAAGAUGGCUCUGCUAUCACUUCUGGAUGGACCCGCGGCGUAUUAGCUAGUUGGUGAGGUAAAGGCUCACCAAGGCAGUGAUACGUAGCCGACCUGAGAGGGUAAUCGGCCACAUUGGGACUGAGACACGGCCCAGACUCCUACGGGAGGCAGCAGUAGGGAAUCUUCCACAAUGGACGCAAGUCUGAUGGAGCAACGCCGCGUGAGUGAAGAAGGGUUUCGGCUCGUAAAGCUCUGUUGUUAAAGAAGAACGUGGGUAAGAGUAACUGUUUACCCAGUGACGGUAUUUAACCAGAAAGCCACGGCUAACUACGUGCCAGCAGCCGCGGUAAUACGUAGGUGGCAAGCGUUAUCCGGAUUUAUUGGGCGUAAAGCGAGCGCAGGCGGUCUUUUAAGUCUAAUGUGAAAGCCUUCGGCUCAACCGAAGAAGUGCAUUGGAAACUGGGAGACUUGAGUGCAGAAGAGGACAGUGGAACUCCAUGUGUAGCGGUGAAAUGCGUAGAUAUAUGGAAGAACACCAGUGGCGAAGGCGGCUGUCUGGUCUGCAACUGACGCUGAGGCUCGAAAGCAUGGGUAGCGAACAGGAUUAGAUACCCUG